AGGGUUGUAGCUCAAUGGCAGAGCAUCUGCUUUGCCUGUAAAAGGUCUCAGGUUCGAUCCCUGGUAUCUCCA